CUUGGUCACCGAGGUUUUGAGUGCGCCGAGCUUACCGCUGAGACUUUGGUACAGCGUAAUCUUGUUCUGCAGCGUGCUCUGCUGGUUCUGCAGGAUCGUGAUCGGCUGGCGUUCCACCGCCACCAAGCCGUCGAUAAUCGCUUGGGUAUCGAGACCCGUGGCGAGCCCGUUGAAAGUAAUCGUCGCCAUCGAUCAAAGCUCCUUGGAAACGAGCACGCCCUUGUGCUCGCGCAGCGCCCGGGCGACCUUCAGGAUUUCUUCCGGCGGAAUUUGGCGCACCAACUUCCCCGACGAC
rnacentral:misc_RNA from 1 species